GCACCGUCCUGCUCACUCGCAUCGCCAGAGAGAGCCACUGAGCCCUCCCCGUGGGGCCUCCCGUUCCUGGGAGGCAGAAUCCACCAGGUACCUGCCCAGGAAGACGUCGGCUGCCCAGGGUCCUGUCACGCGUGAACACGUGAGUCGCUGGCCGCACGCUCUUUCAGAUGAGCCUGGCUGCGGUUUUCACAGCCGCUUGUCAUUGGACUGGGCGUCUUUUCUCUCCCGCGCACUGCCCGCUUGUACCCACGGGGCGUCCCUGCCUGGCAGACCCGAAGCCGUGCCCGCCAGACCUGCGGUGCCCUUCAGCGGGCAAAGACGUGACUUGGGGACAGAAGACAGCGCAGCUUCAGCAGCGAAGCCCCGCGGCCCCCGGGGAGCUGCUUGGAUUCCGGGAACCGGGGAUGAGGGGAAUGGCCAGGCGGCGCGGCCCGUGUUCUCUUUGUCCUGUGUCACCGCCGGCCUCGGGCUGCGGGGAGCUCUCUGCUGUGCAUCAGCCAAGCUGGAGCCCGAGCACCGCGUGAGCUCGUGCCGGGGGGACCCAGGGGCUGCAAGGCAGGACCCCACCCACGUGGCUGCACCACGGAGACAGCAGGGGUGGGGGCCACGCUGGCCUGGCCUCUCCACAAAACCAGUUCUGGAUGGGGAGAUGCCCUUGCGUGGUGUGUGUCCAAUAAGACAGAGAGUCAGGACAGCGUGGGCCGAGCCCUGGGCGGGAGGCUGUGAGCUGCCGCACGUGGGUGGGAAGCCCCCAGUGCCGUCCCGCUGAGGCCCUGCUCACCUCUCAGGAGGGCCGGCGGGACCCUGCAGUGACAGGACCAACGUACACCGCCAGGCAAAGAUUGGCCGCGCCCCGCCCCUGCCCCGCUCUCCCAGCCUGGCCCGGGUCAUCGUGUUGGGCCUCCCCUUGGGGCCCGGGAGCACUGUUCUCUCACUGCUAUAAAACUGGCCAAGGUCUCCCGAGCGUGCCUUGGUCCCACCUGCCUGGGGCCAUCACCUGUGCCUGCCCGGUGCUUUGGGCGCCCACACCUGCCCUCCCUCCAGGCCAUCAGAACCCUCCAGAACCCCUCUCCCAGAACCUCUAGACACCCUGGGUGGGGCCCUUCCCCCGUGCAUAGCUCAGGCCUCCGGACCACCCUCAAAGAAGGUCAUAGCCGCUUUUAAUGCGGCACGGUUUCCACCCCAUCCCACCUGCCAUAAUAAAAGCGCAAUAAUACAAACGGCAGAUUCCUUUGCACAGCACCUGUCCUCUCAUCCCCAAAUGGAAAGUCCUCCCCACCCUGUGCAAGAGCUCGCAGCUUGGGAACAGACUGGACCAGGCUCCCAUGAAGGCUGGAGCCACGAAGGCCGCCAGCUUCUUGUGGGGUUGGGCAGUGAGUGGCUCACGAGGGACCCUGGGGCCACCAUUUACCUUCCGCACCUGUGGGAGACCUGCCCGGAGGGAGACACGCGGUCGGGUGGGGUGACCGGCAGGCGUUGUGUUAACCAGCGCAUCGGAAAGGCGUCCGCAGGGAGCACCUCUUCAGGAUGCUGCUCCCGGACAGCCCCCAGCAGCCACCGCCAGCUCCAGCCUCUGGCCCAGCCCUGGCUGGGGACAGGCAGGACGGACGGACAGAGGUGACCCCCAGCAAGGCCCAACCCUGGUGGGGCUGGGCGGCUCUCUUCCCCGAGUCUCUGCGUGCCCAGGACUAGCCCCUGGCCAGGUGAGGGUGGAUCAGCCAGACCUGAGAAAGCCAGGCCGGCAGAUGAGGCCACGACGUCUCCGUCUCAGCAGGCGAGUCAAAACGUCUGCUUGCCGUGGCUCCUGGGCACAGGCUGGAAUGAGGGCGCUAACCAGAGACUCCAUGUGACCUGCCAGGCUACAAACAUGCCCUCCCAGCCUGGGCUCCGGCAUGUGAAUUAUUAAUGCGGUGUUGUAGUAAUCGUAUUGACGUAUCAACAGUCAAUAAUGUCAUGCUAAUAA